rnacentral:rRNA from 1 species
AUGCAGUCGAGCGGACAGAAGGGAGCUUGCUCCCGGAUGUUAGCGGCGGACGGGUGAGUAACACGUGGGUAACCUGCCUGUAAGACUGGGAUAACUCCGGGAAACCGGAGCUAAUACCGGAUAGUUCCUUGAACCGCAUGGUUCAAGGAUGAAAGACGGUUUCGGCUGUCACUUACAGAUGGACCCGCGGCGCAUUAGCUAGUUGGUGAGGUAACGGCUCACCAAGGCGACGAUGCGUAGCCGACCUGAGAGGGUGAUCGGCCACACUGGGACUGAGACACGGCCCAGACUCCUACGGGAGGCAGCAGUAGGGAAUCUUCCGCAAUGGACGAAAGUCUGACGGAGCAACGCCGCGUGAGUGAUGAAGGUUUUCGGAUCGUAAAGCUCUGUUGUUAGGGAAGAACAAGUGCAAGAGUAACUGCUUGCACCUUGACGGUACCUAACCAGAAAGCCACGGCUAACUACGUGCCAGCAGCCGCGGUAAUACGUAGGUGGCAAGCGUUGUCCGGAAUUAUUGGGCGUAAAGGGCUCGCAGGCGGUUUCUUAAGUCUGAUGUGAAAGCCCCCGGCUCAACCGGGGAGGGUCAUUGGAAACUGGGAAACUUGAGUGCAGAAGAGGAGAGUGGAAUUCCACGUGUAGCGGUGAAAUGCGUAGAGAUGUGGAGGAACACCAGUGGCGAAGGCGACUCUCUGGUCUGUAACUGACGCUGAGGAGCGAAAGCGUGGGGAGCGAACAGGAUUAGAUACCCUGGUAGUCCACGCCGUAAACGAUGAGUGCUAAGUGUUAGGGGUUUCCGCCCCUUAGUGCUGCAGCUAACGCAUUAAGCACUCCGCCUGGGGAGUACGGUCGCAAGACUGAAACUCAAAGGAAUUGACGGGGGCC